GUUAGGGCMCGACACCGGAAGGGAGCCUGAGAACGGCUACCACAUCCAAGGAUGGCAGCAGGCGCGCAAAUUACCCAAUCCCGACACGGGGAGGUAGUGACAAUAAAUAACAAUACGGGGUUCUUUCGGAUCUCGUAAUUGGAAUGAGUACAAUUUAAAUCUCUUAACGAGGAACAAUUGGAGGGCAAGUCUGGUGCCAGCAGCCGCGGUAAUUCCAGCUCCAAUAGCGUGUAUUAAAGUUGUUGCAGUUAAAAAGCUCGUAGUUGAAUUUCGGGGUUAGUAGGUUGGUCAUGCCUCUGGUAUGUACUGAUCUCACUGAUUCCUCCUUCCUUAUGAACCGUAAUGCCAUUAAUUUGGUGUUGCGGGGAAUUUGGACUGUUACUUUGAAAAAAUUAGAGUGUUUAAAGCAGGCUAACGCUUGAAUACAUUAGCAUGGAAUAAUGAAAUAGGACGUUCGAUCUUAUUUUGUUGGUUUCUAGGAUUGACGUAAUGAUUAAUAGGGAUAGUUGGGGGCAUUAGUAUUCAAUUGUCAGAGGUGAAACUCUUGGAWUUAUUGAAGACUAACUACUGCGAAAGCAUUUGCCAAGGAUGUUUUCAUUAAUCAAGAACGAAAGUUAGGGAUCGAARACGAUCARAUACCGUCGUAGUCCUAACCAUAACUAUGCCGACUAGGAUCGAWGAUGUAUUUUUAUGACUCAUCGCGCUACGGAACCAAKG
rnacentral:rRNA from 1 species